rnacentral:lncRNA from 1 species
UUCUGUGGAUUCUAAACUAGGUUCUGGAUUCUAAAGUGGAAAUUGUUUUACCAGGGGGCCCAGUAAGAGUCCCAUUAAACUUUAAACUAUGGCUACUGUAGGGUCAUUUAAGUUUCUUCAUGUCAAGAGUCCAGUAAGGAAUAAAAGAAAACAAUGUUGGUAGAGAAUGGACAAGUACAGCAGCCACAGUAUGGUGUGGUUACCAGAAGCCUACGCACUCAGGGAUGACUGUCUGGGUAACCUCACCAGUUCCCAGAAAAAGAGACCAACCAGAAACUUGAAGGAGCUCUUCCCAGAUGGAAUAAACUUACCAUGUGAAUCACGUGAAUCCAAGGGAUGCAAGGAUUGGCCUAUACUGGAUUGGAUGCUCUGUGUUGUUCUGGAACUUCCUAAUAAACCAACUGCAUGCAA